rnacentral:rRNA from 1 species
UGGGGAAUAUUGGGCAAUGGGGCGCAAGCCUGACCCAGCAACGCCGCGUGAAGGAAGAAGGCUUUCGGGUUGUAAACUUCUUUUGACAGGGAAGAGCAGAAGACGGUACCUGUCGAAUAAGCCACGGCUAACUACGUGCC